UUAUUUAAAACCUGAAAAGGGAGAUACCAUGAUCAUGAGGUGGUUUUCCCAGAGUGAGGCUUUUCCAUUGCACUGUGGAUGGGCUGAUGUCCUGCGAUUUCACCAAGUGUGGGAAACUCAACUGCAUGAUUCAUGGUAGAGGAGGACUGCAUUCACGCUUUCCCCUG